rnacentral:ncRNA from 1 species
UAGCGGGUCUGAGAGGAUGAUCCGCCACACUGGGACUGAGACACGGCCCAGACUCCUACGGGAGGCAGCAGUGGGGAAUAUUGGACAAUGGGGGGAACCCUGAUCCAGCCAUGCCGCGUGUGUGAAGAAGGCCUUAUGGUUGUAAAGCACUUUAAGCGAGGAGGAGGCUACUGAGACUAAUACUCUUGGAUAGUGGACGUUACUCGCAGAAUAAGCACCGGCUAACUCUGUGCCAGCAGCCGCGGUAAUACAGAGGGUGCGAGCGUUAAUCGGAUUUACUGGGCGUAAAGCGUGCGUAGGCGGCUUUUUAAGUCGGAUGUGAAAUCCCCGAGCUUAACUUGGGAAUUGCAUUCGAUACUGGGAAGCUAGAGUAUGGGAGAGGAUGGUAGAAUUCCAGGUGUAGCGGUGAAAUGCGUAGAGAUCUGGAGGAAUACCGAUGGCGAAGGCAGCCAUCUGGCCUAAUACUGACACUGAGGUGCGAAAGCAUGGGGAGCAAACAGGAUUAGAUACCCUGGUAGUCCAUGCCGUAAACGAUGUCUACUAGCCGUUGGGGCCUUUGAGGCUUUAGUGGCGCAGCUAACGCGAUAAGUAGACCGCCUGGGGAGUACGGUCGCAAGACUAAAACUCAAAUGAAUUGACGGGGGCCCGCACAAGCGGUGGAGCAUGUGGUUUAAUUCGAUGCAACGCGAAGAACCUUACCUGGCCUUGACAUACUA